AUGUCGCCGCGGUCGUCGCCAGGGACCCGCAGCUCCUCCGCCAGAGUGGAGUACUUGAGGAACACGUUCAGGUGGACGGAUGCUGAGGUGGCCAUUGCCGUUUCUAAGGCUCCAGCUGUGCUGACGAGGGCUAAGGAAUCGCUGCAGCGCAGAUCCCAGUUCCUCAUCUCCGAGCUGGGGUUGGAACCGGCAUACAUUGCUUAUCGUCCGGCAAUGCUCAUGUACUGCUUGGAGGGCCGGAUCAGACCCCGGCACGUUGUAAAGUUUCUCAAGGAAAAUGGAUUGCUCAAUUGUGACCCGAGCUACUAUACUGUUUUCACGGUGUCCGAGAAGACGUUCAGGAAGAAGUUCAUACACCCUCAUAAGGAAGCUGCACCGUACCUGGAAAAAGACUAUGAUGCUGCUUGAAAGGGGGAAGAGCCCACUAAUUUCAGAUUCACAUAA
rnacentral:rRNA from 1 species